GGAAAUUCAUUUUUCAAUAGUUUCUUCAGAAAAUAGAUAUGAAAUGUGAAUACAAUAUCAGAAAAACCAAAAGCAUUACUUGUACCAAUGUUCCAACCUUACAAGGUGUAGUUGUUUCAUGUAGAACACAUACAUUAGUAACAUAUAUUUCUUGUGAACUCCACGAAAUUUCCAAGUCCCAAACUUUAGGUCCAUAAUUAUGCUGCUUUUGUUUCUGCUGCUCCUUCCUUUGGUCCUACCUUCACCUCACCAGAGCAACACCCACCACCGUGGUGGUGGUGGUGAUGGUGAUGCUGGUGGUGCUUCUUGCCCUUCAAUUCCUUCCUCAUAUCAUAAGCAUCUUCCCCAUCUGCAUAGUACUUGGCUUCCAUAUCAUGAAUCUUAUAUCCUAAUGUCUCUGUAUACAGCUUAAAUGCGGCCCUGUUGCUCUUCCUAACAUGCAGAGACACAUACUCUGCUCCAAACACCUGUUCCAUAGCAUUCUGAGCAGCGGUCAUGAGCUUAGUAGCCAAACCAAGUUUCCGGUGAGUCCUGACUACGGCAAGGGAAGUGAUGUGCCCAUGGCACUCAGUGGUUUCCUCUUCCAUUUUUGCUAACACAUAUCCCACAAUUUUACCAUUGUAAUCUUCAGCAACGUACAGAAGCUGAGGCCACGAAAGUAUGUGGUAGAAGUAGUACUUCAUCUGGUAAUUCUCAGGAAGGCAUAACAAAUUGCAUGCUUGCAUAGCAAGCAAAUCAUCUAUCGUCGCCUUUCGUAUGCACACCAUUUUUCAAUCUCAAUCUCACACGAUAAUUAGGGUUUGCACAGAUUUUUACAA
rnacentral:misc_RNA from 1 species